CUUCUUCCUGGUAGGACCAAGUUCUUGCAGGACCGCCAGGGCCAGAAGCUGCUGCUGGUAGACAACAGGAACAAAAGUGCCUUCUUCAGGGAAAGACGAGAGUGCAUCCACGUGGAUUUGAACUGCGAAGGGCACCUGAUCAGCAAAGAAAGGUUAAAGAGAGUAGGAUGUGGUGAGAAGAACAACCUCUGGGGCAACCAGCAUGCUGCAGACACAGGGUCUGAAGUUAGGAAGGUGGAGGUAGCUGUUUUUCAUCGCCUUCUGACUGGCUGCCACCUGGGGAUAGUCCACCAUGGCUGGAUCUGGGCAGGAUUUGAAGUAUUCACCAAACCAUGCUGUGUCGAGUCUCUGAAAACUACUUGGCAAGUGAUCCUUCAGGAGAGACAGUUUCCCAUUGAGGCUUCAGGGUAAUGUGAACUUCCAUCUCUGGCAAGCUGCUGUACUGAGCACUCACAGAAUCCAGACUUUUCAGGGGUAAAGGAAGUUUUCUCUGUGGAAGUGAAGUUCCAUCAACAAUCAGAAGAGCCUAUAGAUAGGAAAUAUUACCUUUACACUCAACCAGACUGCCUCAGUUGUCUUGAGUUGACUACAGAUUUCAGCAUGUUCAAAGCAUAGCAUUUUUACCUCUGUUAUAAAUUACAGAAAUUAAUAUAUAUAUAUAUUCAAUUUUGAGUUUUUAAAAGAAAAUAGAUUUCAAACAAUGGCAUCACUUGGGGGGGUGUCUUUUUUUCUUAUAGUGUUGAAAUAAAAUGCUCAGAGAACUUCA
rnacentral:lncRNA from 1 species